CAAUACGGUGUACGAGAAAAAAACCGUAUCUGUUUUGCAACUACAAGGAAACAAAAACGAAAUGGGAACCUAUGAAUGUUGGUGGAACAAUAGCCGAGGUGAAGCGAGGCAAAAACGAUUCACUGCUAGUUUUGCCGAAGAGCUACCAAUGGAAACGACAACUAGCACCAUUAUCACAGCCUUUUAUGUCAUUCUGAUCGCAAUAGUUGCAAUCGGAAUCGGCACUAAAUUUUACCUCGAAAAAAAAAAUGCGGAAAUAGAACUAGAAAUCAUGCUGAAUGGAGACCUAUGUAGAAUCGACCCAGAUAUGCCAAUGGAAUAUAAAACGGAAUUCCUGCCCUACGAUAGGAAAAUGGGAAUUUCCAAGGAAAAGACUAAGAUUUGUUUUAUUCCUAUUCAAUUUCUAAUAACCAGAAAAAUAGUUAUUACAAAUUCAAAUUAAAAGUCAAGAACUCGGAUCCGGUUGCUUCGGUUGAGUUGUCAAAGCAGAAGCCAUUGGCAUAAAAGAUUCGGACACAACUGUGACAAUAAUAGCAGUUAAAUAAUUAAAUCAUUACCGAAUUCUCACGGCGCACUUGACGCUCUCAUAAGAGAAUUUCAAAUUCUAAUUUAUUCAGGACCGCACUUAAAUGUUGUAAAUUUAAUGGGCGCCUGCACCAAAACUAAUCUUAAAGAUAAAAUUCUGGUCAUAUUCAAUUUUUGCCGAUUCCGUAACUUACAGUCGUACUUAAUUAAUAACCGGGACAAGUUCAUUAACCAAUAAACGGAGUUGUCAAUAUUCCACCUGACAGCAACAAGAUGGAUACC